rnacentral:ncRNA from 1 species
CAAAGAUUUGGUCCUGGUCUUACUAUCAUUUUUCAACUAAACUUACACAUGCAAGUAUCCGCGCUCCGGUGAAAAUGCCCUUAAUCUUCCUAGUAGAAGACGAGGAGCCGGCAUCAGGCUCGUGUUCACGGCCCAAGACGCCUUGCUUUGCCACACCCCCACGGGAUUUCAGCAGUGAUAAACAUUAGGCAAUCAGCGAAAGCUAGACCUAGUUAUGGUUAAAUAGAGCCGGUAAAACUCGUGCCAGCCACCGCGGUUAUACGAGGGGCUCAAAAUGAUAGUCAUUCGGCGUAUGGUGUGGUUAACAAUCAAAUUAUAAACUGAGAACAAAAUACCUUUAAGCUGUCAUACGCUAAUAAGUAUAUGAAAACCAAUAACGAAAGUUAUCUCAUUAAAUGUGAAUCCACGAAAACCAAGGCACAAACUGGGAUUAGAUACCCCACUAUGCUUGGAACUAAACUAAGGCGGCACAAAUACUAAGCCGCUCGCCAGGUUACUACGAGCGCAAGCUUAAAACCCAAAGGACUUGGCGGUGCUUCAGAACCACCUAGAGGAGCCUGUUCUAUAAUCGAUAAUCCUCGUUCAACCUCACCACAUCUUGCAUUCAGCCUAUAUACCGCCGUCGCCAGCCUACCUUUUGAAAGACCCUAAGUAGGCAUAAUAAGCAUAGCUUAAUACGUCAGGUCAAGGUGUAGCUUAUGAUGUGGGAAGAAAUGGGCUACAUUUUCUAAAUUAGAACAUACGGACGACACUAUGAAACCUGUGUCUGAAGGAGGAUUUAGCAGUAAGUGGGGAGUAGAGUGCCCCACUGAAGCUUGGCGCUGAAGCGCGCACACACCGCCCGUCACUCUCCUCGAAACAACCUACACCCUUUAAUAAAACGCUAUUAACAAGAAGAGGAGGCAAGUCGUAACAUGGUAAGCGUACCGGAAGGUGUGCUUGGAAUAAU